GACAUGCAGAGAACUUUACCAGAGAUGGAGUUGGUGCCUUCGGGAACUCUGACACAGGUGCUGCAUGGCUGUCGUCAGCUCGUGUCGUGAGAUGUUGGGUUAAGUCCCGUAACGAGCGCAACCCUUGUCCUUAGUUACCAGCACGUUAUGGUGGGCACUCUAAGGAGACUGCCGGUGACAAACCGGAGGAAGGUGGGGAGUGACGUCAAGUCAUCAUGGCCCUUACGGCCUGGGCUACACACGUGCUACAAUGGUCGGUACAAAGGGUUGCCAAGCCGCGAGGUGGAGCUAAUCCCAUAAAACCGAUCGUAGUCCGGAUCGCAGUCUGCAACUCGACUGCGUGAAGUCGGAAUCGCUAGUAAUCGUGAAUCAGAAUGUCACGGUGAAUACGUUCCCGGGCCUU
rnacentral:rRNA from 1 species